rnacentral:rRNA from 1 species
AUUGAACGCUGGCGGCAGGCCUAACACAUGCAAGUCGAGCGGAUGAUGGGAGCUUGCUCCUUGAUUCAGCGGCGGACGGGUGAGUAAUGCCUAGGAAUCUGCCUGGUAGUGGGGGACAACGUUUCGAAAGGAACGCUAAUACCGCAUACGUCCUACGGGAGAAAGCAGGGGACCUUCGGGCCUUGCGCUAUCAGAUGAGCCUAGGUCGGAUUAGCUUGUUGGUGAGGUAAUGGCUCACCAAGGCGACGAUCCGUAACUGGUCUGAGAGGAUGAUCAGUCACACUGGAACUGAGACACGGUCCAGACUCCUACGGGAGGCAGCAGUGGGGAAUACUGGACAAUGGGCGAAAGCCUGAUCCAGCCAUGCCGCGUGUGUGAAGAAGGUCUUCGGAUUGUAAAGCACUUUAAGUUGGGAGGAAGGGUUGUAGAUUAAUACUCUGCAAUUUUGACGUUACCGACAGAAUAAGCACCGGCUAACUCUGUGCCAGCCGCCGCCGUAAGAC